rnacentral:rRNA from 1 species
CCGCAAGGUUGAAACUCAAAGGAAUUGACGGGGGCCCGCACAAGCGGUGGAGUAUGUGGUUUAAUUCGAAGCAACGCGAAGAACCUUACCAGGGCUUGACAUCCCACUAACGAAGCAGAGAUGCAUUAGGUGCCCUUCGGGGAAAGUGGAGACAGGUGGUGCAUGGUUGUCGUCAGCUCGUGUCGUGAGAUGUUGGGUUAAGUCCCGCAACGAGCGCAACCCUUAUUGUUAGUUGCUACGCAAGAGCACUCUAGCGAGACUGCCGUUGACAAAACGGAGGAAGGUGGGGACGACGUCAAAUCAUCAUGCCCCUUAUGUCCUGGGCCACACACGUACUACAAUGGUGGUUAACAGAGGGAGGCAAAGCCGCGAGGUGGAGCAAAUCCCUAAAAGCCAUCCCAGUUCGGAUUGCAGGCUGAAACCCGCCUGUAUGAAGUUGGAAUCGCUAGUAAUCGCGGAUCAGCAUGCCGCGGUGAAUACGUUCCCGGGCCUUGUACACACCGCCCGUCACACCAUGAGAGUCGGGAACACCCGAAGUCCGUAGCCUAACCGCAAGGAGGGCGCGGCCGAAGGUGGGUUCGAUAAUUGGGGUGAAGUCGUAACAAGGUAGCCGUAUCGGAAGGUGCGGCUG